rnacentral:sRNA from 1 species
UCCAGGAUAUGCCCUCUGCCACUCCAAUC